UGAAUGUAAAUGUAAACAUAUGGUUUUGAAAUUUAAAGAAAAUAUGGUUCACGUCACCGAUUUUGUUAAUUACAAAAGGUGCAUAAAUUACUUCUUAUUAUAUUCAGUCUUGCAAGGUGUGCGGGUAUUUGUGGUGGCCAAAUCGCAAUUUGUUGAUUGUGGUGAUAAACUUACGGCUAGCUAUAUCCAGCUCAUGAUACCAAAGUCUCUUCCGUAAAUUCUCUUGUUUAUUUCCAUACCAUUUUCCUUUAAAUUUCUGAUCCUCUUUCCAGAAUACUAACCACAUACUAUUUAAGGAGACAUUUACAUCGUAAUAAUAAUUGGUCAUAGGGACAUGCACUACAUUUCUGACAUCAAGAAUAGAAAUAACUUUGUGUGAGGGAACCCACAUAAAGGCGAUUUUAGUUCCUUUAUUAUAAACGCCAUACUAAAUUUAAUACAAAAGAUAAUAUAAUUUGUUUUAAAAUUUAGAUUCACAAGUUUCAGACUAUUUAUAUGAUUUAAAUAGUCUGUUAAGAAAAGAAAAUAUUUACAAUUAUUUACACUACUAAUCAAUUUUAAAGCUUCAAAAACGGCAUAUGCCUCUGAUGUUAAAAUAGAACUCUGUUGAUGUAGAAUAAAGCUUUGAGCAAUACUCUUUUGGCGAUCAUAGACUGCACUUUUAACAUAGAAAAUCCAGCACAAAGUUAGAGAUUUCAGAAGAUUUCAGAAGAGACCUUUCAGAAGAUCAUAAGGUCAAUGUACCAUCUGCUCUAAUGAAAUGAGGUACACCGGCAUUCGUCGCAAACGAAUUCUAACAAGCACCAGUGGCCCCUUCACUUGUGUGGCUUGACGGAACACAGUGGGGUUUUAGUCCAUAGGAAUCCGGCAUAACCCACAACCCCUUCCCGGGUUCCGUGGGUAUCUAUGCAAGAUUUUUCCACUAUAAAAAAAGAUCACAUAAAAGAGAAAUGAAGCAGUCAGAACAACUUCCUCCACUAAAUCCAAAUUGAACAUGAGGGAUGAUGCUAUUAGAUUCCAAAUACCAGUCCAGGCGAGAUUUAACCAUGUUUUCAAAUAUCUUUCCAAGACAUGAUGAUAUUGAAAUUGGGCGAUGGGAACUACCCUGUUCAGGUGAUUUAUCUGGGUUUAAGUAUAGAAUGAAUAAAUUAAAACAUCAUGAACAUUGUUGAAGAGGGUGAACAUAGUCAAAAAUUCAACAAACUAAAAGAGAAAUCUAAUCUAAACUGCAAUAAUUUCAUAUUUGGAAGUUAAUUUUGUGAACAUUUGUUAUAUAAAUAUAAAUGCGACAAAUUAGAUGACAAAUCUAAUUAUACCAGUUUUUCAAUUUGGGCUGCUGGGAUAUAUGCUUUUAUAUCAUAUCUAUCCAGAAAUUUGUUGUUGUUUAGAAAAAUAUUGGCCGUGUUGUGCUGUUUGAAGACCACAACUAUUUUAUUGGGGCUAAUACGUCUCAGUGCCUCCACACCUUUAAUAUUAAAAAAAUAAAUGAUUGAAAUAAA